rnacentral:rRNA from 1 species
UGCAGAAGAGUUGAGAUGGUUAGAGUAUCUCGCCUCUCAAUUCUCGCUGUAUUUUACCCUUGUUUUUCUCAUACUAUUAUUUCCUCGGCAGGCUCGCCUGCCGGGUGAAACAACUUCAAACCUGUUUAAUUUUCAAUCAGCGUCUGAACAAAUUAAUAAUUACAACUUUCAACAACGGAUCUCUUGGUUCUGGCAUCGAUGAAGAACGCAGCGAAAUGCGAUAAGUAGUGUGAAUUGCAGAAUUCAGUGAAUCAUCGAAUCUUUGAACGCACAUUGCGCCCCUUGGUAUUCCAUGGGGCAUGCCUGUUCGAGCGUCAUUUGUACCUUCAAGCUCUGCUUGGUGUUGGGUGUUUGUCCUUGCUCUAGUGGCGGGACUCGCCUUAAAGUAAUUGGCAGCCAGUGUUUUGGUUUUGAAGCGCAGCACAAGUCGCGAUUCAAGUCUAUACGCUAGUUUCCACAAGUCUUUUAUCACUUUUGACCUCGGAUCAGGUAGGGAUACCCGCUGAACUUAAGCAUAUCAAA